GCUCCUGUAGCCCAAUCGGAAGAGGCAACCGUCUUAAACACGGUAUGUUGUGGGUUCGACUCCCACCAGGAGUA
rnacentral:tRNA from 1 species